GUUCAGUCGGUAGAGCAUGAGACUCUUAAUCUCAGGGUCGUGGUUUCGAUCCCUAC
rnacentral:tRNA from 1 species